CAGAUUGGCUGCUCAGAGGCCCCUCAGGCUGUACUCAAGCUGAUUUGAAUGGCAAAGAACCUCUGUGGGGAAACUAGCCAGUGCAAAAGCCCAGAGGUGGAGUUAGGAAAUAGCUGGUGAGACAGAAGCCUCAGGAGACCUCGCAGCAGGGAUUUAUGUUGGGGAAGAUGAUGGGGCAGAGAGGAAGCCAAAGACCAGUGAGGAGGCAGUGGUGUGGGCCAGGCUCAAUAAAGGAUGGCUGCUUCUGCUGUUUCCUACUUU
rnacentral:lncRNA from 1 species